ensembl:lncRNA
CUCAGCCUAGUCAAAACCCCGCUAGUGCCUGCAGGGAAAUGGCUUUUUAUCAAGGCAACUUUACAAUUUUUCAUCCUCAGCUUCAAGAACUGUCAAGUGUAUGGGAUUUAGCUAAGGUGUUCUUCAAGGAAACUAAAAAGCUACAAGUAUUAUUACUAAAAACGCUGCUUCCUCCCCACUGUGAAGAAAAAUGGCUGAAAAGAAAGGUGAAGUAAUCCAGCUGUUAGUGUCUUGAUUUUCAGUCAUCUGUUUACACAGACCUACUAUUCAGAAUAAGAGAGAAGUUCAAUUGGAAGGAAUCUGGAAAAAUCAUCAAAUUCAACUGCUUGACCCCUUCAGGGCUAACUAAAAGCUAAGGCGUAUUAAUGAGGGCACUGUCCAAAUGCGUAUUAAACAUGGAUAGAUGUGAGCAUCAUCAUGGAACUUGUCUGGUGUUGUUCUGUCAUGGUAAAGAAAUUUUGCCUAAUUGAACCUCCUUCUCUGGCAAACACUCACCUCUAAAUACAACUGCUAGAUUUUCGUUCCCAAUGCUUUUGUUUUGGCAUGUACCCCUCUAUACGUUGUGAAAACUGAUAUUAAAAUUUGCUAAUAUUAAUCCUAAGAAAUAAAAGUGAGAUAUUUAGAUUUUGGUUGUAAGGCACAUUUGGGAUGUCAUGGCACACAAGUCACAUUUUUUAUUCACCUUUCAUCUUAAAAGCAAGAAACUGAAAUUAUUAACUUGCUAUUAUAUGUUCACGGAAAAUAAUUUCCAGAUUUGUAUUGAGAAUGAAUAAUCAUGGUAUCAUGAGAUUUGGAAUAUUUUCUGAAUCUUGUCGAAAGACGAUAACAGGAUAAUCUGAAAUAUUGCAGAAACAUCUAUUUUGGGGUCUUCUGGGGGAUGCUCAUCACAUGUUGAAAAGAUAAGAUGGUAUGUGAGUUAAGAGUAAUCCAUACUGAGUUUUAAAACAACUGUUAGAGAUAAUUACCAAUAGAAACAAGCCUAAUUCAAGUCAAGUAGGGUUCAGUAUUCAGUCUCUUCUCAGCAAGAAUAGGCCAUACAAAAGGGAAGAUAUUUUGGUCCUUUCUGGCUGAAUUUCUUUGUUCAUUUUUCAUGAAUUUGAUGUUUUUGUGUUGUUGUUGUUGUUUUUUUUUCCCCUUGAUUAUUGUAUUAGUAAACAAAAUGCAAUUUGGUUGAAUGUUGCUUUUUCUUCACUCUCUUUUUUUCUGAACUCUGAAUAAGAAAUCUUUCAUGGCUGCUGUAUUACUGCAUGG